rnacentral:rRNA from 1 species
UCCCAGACUCCUACGGGAGGCAGCAGUGAGGAAUAUUGGUCAAUGGCCGGAAGGCUGAACCAGCCAUGCCGCGUGAAGGUCAGUGCCCUAUGGGCGUUAAACUUCUUUUGUGCGGGAGCAAUAAUGGUCACGUGUGGCCAGACGAGAGUACCGUACAAAUAAGCAUCGGCUAACUCCGUGCCAGCAGCCGCGGUAAUACGGAGGAUGCGAGCGUUAUCCGGAUUUAUUGGGUUUAAAGGGUGCGUAGGCGGGCUUUUAAGUCAGCGGUAAAAAUUCGGGGCUCAACCCCGUCCGGCCGUUGAAACUGGGGGCCUUGAGUGGGCGAGAAGAAGGCGGAAUGCGUGGUGUAGCGGUGAGAUGCAUAGAUAUCACGCAGAACUCCGAUUGCGAAGGCAGCGUACCGGCGCCGGACUGACGCUGAGGCACGAAAGCGUGGGUAUCGAACAGGAUUAGAUACCCUGGUA